GACAGAGGGUGCAAGCGUUGUUCGGAAUUAUUGGGCGUAAAGGGCGCGUAGGCGGCGGCGUAAGUCGGGUGUGAAAGCCCGGGGCUUAACCCCGGAAGUGCGCCCGAUACUGCGUCGCUUGAGUCCCGGAGAGGGUGGUGGAAUUCCCAGUGUAGAGGUGAAAUUCGUAGAUAUUGGGAGGAAUACCGGUGGCGAAGGCGACCACCUGGACGGAGACUGACGCUGAGGCGCGAAAGCGUGGGGAG
rnacentral:rRNA from 1 species